AUUGAACGCUGGCGGCAUGCUUUACACAUGCAAGUCGAACGGCAGCACGGACUUCGGUCUGGUGGCGAGUGGCGAACGGGGGAGUAAUACAUCGGAACGUACCCAGUAAUGGGGGAUAACUAUCCGAAAGGAUAGCUAAUACCGCAUACGCCCUACGGGGGAAAGAGGGGGAUCGCAAGACCUCUUGUUAUUGGAGCGGCUGAUGGCUGAUGAGCUAGUUGGUAGGGUAAAGGCCUACCAAGGCAACGAUCAGUAGCGGGUCUUAGAGGACGGUCCGCCACACUGGAACUGAGACACGGUCCAGACUCCUACGGGAGGCAGCAGUGGGGAAUCUUGGACAAUGGGCGCAAGCCUGAUCCAGCGAUGCCGCGUGCGUGAAGAAGGCCUUCGGGUUGUAAAGCGCUUUUGUCAGGGAGCAAAUCCUUGUGGCUAAUACCCACCGGGGAUGAGAGUACCUGAAGAAUAAGGACCGGCUAACUACGUGCCAGCCGCCGCAGUAA
rnacentral:rRNA from 1 species